AAGUUAACCAGCUGAAGUUUUGAAGGGAGACUAGCGUUCAACAGUGGCAGUUCUGCUGUUCCAUGAUUGCUUUCUACUUUUUGGUCCCUGGAAAUGUAAAGUCUCAGGAGGCCAAGUUUUAAAUUAAAAAGGGGGGAACACACAAUUCUGAUGGACUGCCAACUGGUCCCAGGAAGGACCAGAAGAUGGAUCUCACACCAAAGAGGAAGGCUUCGUUUGGCACGGGGGGGUUAGCAAACUGCGGUGUGAACGCAAGGGGAGGUGAGUUUGGAAACCGGGGUCUGUUUCAGUGACAAGGCUGGGAUCAGGAUUCUCCAUGCUAUCUCAGUUUUGACCUAACCAAGCCCCAGCCCCUGCAUUUGAAGGAACUGAAGUUGUUCAGGUCAAUGGAAGGACACGGUUGGGGUUAUAUUCAGCCCCAGAGUUUACAGUCUCAUGGCACCAAAUAAAUGACCUUUAACAAAGUCUGUGGAGGAAACAUUUCUGGUAGAAGUGAAAACUGCCUGUGGUUAGCCUCAUGUUCAGCUUUAAAUCUGGGUCUUCACAGUGUUUCCCUUGCAGAUCUAAUAAAGUCACUUAUGCCAGGGAAAAAUUUCCAUAUGGGCCAUCAGUGAACCUCGCUAAUGAGUUGCACCGAUUUAUUUACAUUAGGAGGCAACAAGAAGACCCCUUUAAAUCCACCAUUUUAAAGAUAAUGAGCAUUUUGUUUCCCGCUUCGCUGCGUAUCUGGAGGUUGGUUCUCUUCGUCCCAGCUCCGAAGCGAAGGGCUUAAAAGAAAGAAACAAACAUUAUAAGGAUAAUCCGGGAAUCCUGUGACCACUUCCACUCCAGCAGUGACGUGAUCAGCCGUCCCCGAGGGGCGCGAGUAAGAAGGACGUCGAUACUGCGGUUCUGAAGAGUAGCCGGAAAAAUGCGGCCCUUGGACAUCGAAGAGGUGGAGGCACCCGAGGAGGUCGAGUUGCUGGAACCCGAGGAAGAUUUCGAGCAGUUCCUGCUGCCAGUCAUCAACGAGAUGCGGGAGGAUAUCGCGUCUCUCAUACGAGAGCACGGGAGAGCGUAUCUGAGGACCAGGAGCAAGCUGUGGGAGAUGGACAAUAUGCUCAUCCAGAUCAAGACCCAGGUGGAGGCGUCGGAGGAGAGCGCGUUGAAUCACGUUCAGAACCCAGGUGGAGACGCUGAUGAGAGAGUGUCGGAAUUGUGCGAGAAGGCCGAGGAAAAGGCCAAAGAGAUUGCGAAGAUGGCAGAGAUGCUGGUGGAGCUAGUCUGGCGAAUAGAGAAGAGCGAGUCGUCGUGAAGGGGGAGCGGCGGUAAGGCCGGCUACCCGCGGGAGCUGGACUCAGUCUCGGUUCACAAUUGAUGGACUCUGGUCAACGGGUAACAAUGGACUUGAAGAAACUGAAACAGCUUGUCAUUUUCGCUGUUUUGUUUUUGUAGGUUUUUUACCCACGUGUAACAGUCUCCCUUAUGGUCAGUGGUUGAUGACCUGCUAUGGGUUUAUAUUGUCAGAUGUAUUGGAUCUGUAAAAAUAACUUUUUUUGAGAAAUAUUCUCAAGAGGGAAAUGGGGCUUAAUCAAAAGUUGUUUCAGUCAUCACGUUUGUUGCUAUUUUGCUGUGUUUUCGAAGUGUUGGGCAUGGCCUUGUAUUUUUGCUGUUAACCUAUGUGACCUGGUUGCUUUCUGGAAGUUUGGAACAAAUGAAGACUUGGGAUCAGAAUCUUCCAACUCUAGAGGUGCAGUGGGAAGCACUUCUGGGUUGCAGCUGGCGAAGGAUGUGUAAAUGAGACUGCUUGGAUCAGACUGGGAAGAACUCCAACACAGUUGAGGAUGGAAGAUGGUUUUGUAAAUAUUUCAGAACUUUAAUUUCUCUGUGAGACGCAGGAGGAGAGCUGUGUUUUGUGGCUCAUCUCUCAUGUAUAUUGUGUAUCCUGUCAGGUGAGUUUAUUUAGACAAUAUAGCUGACUAUGUGACGAAGAAGUUGUGACGCCCUCACAUUAUUGGGGCUUCAGCGUAUAGCAUCAAAAAGACAAUCUACAAAGGUCCUGGAGAGGCUGGAGAAAGGAAAACGCAUCAUCGGGUAAUAGACUGAAUGGUGUUGAGGUCAAAAUCAAACAUGUAAUGUGUUCAUUUGCCUUGAUAAACAAAGUCUUACAGA